GUACGUGAAGCAUCUGAACUUGGAACACAAAAUUAGAAACAGAGACAAACAGGAGAAAGCAUAAUUACGCGGUACUUUUGUUGAUGAAACUGAAAAUGGAACGUAUCGCUCUACCAGGUGGAAAAAGGUGAGGUUUGACUGUCAAACAGCGCUGCAGAGCUUCCAGCAAGAUCUUCAAUCAUAAUUUUCCUGAACGAGAGGAGGGGAGCUGAGGACCCUGAGAGGCACAAGGGCUUGUAUUCGGAAAGCAGAUAUGGUUAUGAAAGCCCUGUCAAUAACCAAACCCUGUUCGAAAAAGCACAGUCAAUCAUCGAUCCAAUCCAUAUAUAUUGGAGGCUAGAGGAGAAUUCGUUCGUACCCCCAUCCCUCGAAUAUUACCGAAUAUUACCCGAUAUUGCCGCCCGAGGGGUAGACGUUUAUUAAAAUAAUGAUAUACCCCCAGGGUUAUGAGCGAUAUCAAAUCUCGUUCCUUAUCCGCCCAGUUAGUAGAAACGCCGAUCAGCAACACACUCCAUUUAUCGAUGGACUUCUGUGAAGAUCAAAUGUUUUGCAAGGAAUUUCAAUAAAAAAUAAUGAUUCGAGCAACACUCAGUAAUGGAAGUCAACUUUAUUCAUCUCCAAACCGCAUCCCUUCCAGCUACUUAUUGUUAGUCAAAUUCGGAGGCUUCGUUAGCAUGGGCUUCGUUGCCAUCCGGCUUCAUGAACGUUAAGUACAAAAAAUAAUUCGCAGCACUCAAAGUCGACCUAAUGGUAUGUCUGACCCAAGAGACGCAAUGGUCUUUCUAACCGUUGAUCCAUAACGUGGGUUCCAGAGAUCGAUCAGAAUUCAUACUGCGUCUGGAACAAGGUCCAAUUACCAUGGCCGGACCAGCAACCAAACAAUUAUAUCAAACUUGAUGGAAAUGUUUCCAGCCCAGAACUCAUCUCGUCGAUUUCAGACAGUGUCGCAGACAAGUACUAAGAUCCAAGUGGCGGACUUACAAUUAGACAACCAAAGCCUGGGUGGUUUAUAUGUUCUUGUCAACCAGGCUACCACACAAGGUUUUGGGCGUUGCUAGGUGACUCCUGUCGUGACGGAAACCGUAGGGUGUCUCUAACUUCGAGUUUCCGAAAGAAGCGUUUCUUUUAACGAGUCAUCUCUAUUGUAAUUCGGAGAAAAAUAUUAGCUUGUUUUUAAGAUUGCUGAGGUGAUUCAAAGCUUGCACUAUACUGUACAGUAUUGGGAAUCGUACUCACUCUCAACAAUCCAUAGCCAAGAAUACAUCCGAUGCAGUGUCCUGGUAUGAAAAUACCCAUUGUGGAAAUAGUCGUUUUGCCAAAUACCACAGCAGCUAUCGUCACUGAUGGAUUAACAUGACGACCACUGAUGUGCUCAUAGAACUGCAAACAUCGAAACGACACCGUCCGAUUUUUCUCGCCAAAUUAUCCAAAACGUGACAAUUCUGCAUUUUAUACAUUCCAUUGCAGUGAACAAGUAAGAAGAAAGGCAUAAAUGGUGGGAAAAAAUCGAAAACUCCAAACUGUAAGAGCAACGACGAUGGAAAAACUGAAGAUAAUGGAAACUUGCAUACGGAGGGUGUGCUUGACAGCGCGCCAAAUCAGCUUCAGGAGUUUCGAGGAUUUCGCCAGUGAACAUCAUAGCACUCUCGAGUGGGUACCUACGUAGUUUUCGUGGAACACGUAAUUUUUGUGGAACAGGAAAUGAUCUGCGGUUGUCAGCAACACUGAUACUAUAAAUACAGCAGACAUAGAUGCAGAAAAAAAGCAAUCAUCAAAACAGCGCUUCCACGAUUUACAGAGCGCAGAUUCGAUCUAAAAUCGGAAAGUAGUCAACUCGUCAUAUUGCUGAAGAGGGAUUCAAAAUCACUAUUAUACUGGUAUGCAUGAAUUAUUCUUUCAAUUAUAUUUUCGUAUCACAUAUUCGGACAUUGUUUUUUAUUUGUUUCCUAACCUUGACAAAAUCUUAAUAUUAAAAUCACGUAUCUCGUUCUAGAACCUUUCUAGGUUCCCGAGUCGAAAUUUUAUAACCCUGUUAAGAGGCUUCUUAACACUCUAUUGCUUCACAACUCGGAUUUGACUCGAAUUUGUAUCUCAUUAACGUUUUUCAGAUCCUCACAGCUCACUACGACACUUCAAUAGAACCUCGAAUCUGCGGAACUCAAGAAAAUAAAACUCAAGCAUUAGUUUUAGAGAUCUAAACCAGGAAUAUUGCAACUGCGACUUACGAGGAUCGAAUAAGAACCAAUUUGGAUCUCACUAAAGCCCCUGACAUGGACACCAGGCCUUACGAUUAGCACAAUUUUAAGGUUCAUUGAAAUAUUUUUUACUCGGAAUUUUCCGUAAAUUUUCUUGAGGUCCUAAUGAGGUCUAAAAUUUCGUCUCGGGUUAUCUGUUAACCGUGCAAUAUUAUACUUAUGCCAAUUCUACAUUAAAGUAUAAAAUUUCCCAAUGAGCAUAGGCUUAGAUUAAAUAUAUAUAAUAUAAUGUAAGUGUCUCGAUAUCUUGUAGAAGAACUUCGAAUUGCAUUACUGGGUAUGAUUCGAAUCAAACGCAAGUGCUGAGCGAGUGAAUAGAGUGUCAGGAACUAGGACCAAACAGCGGGUGAAAAAUUUCACCCACCGAUUAUCGAAUGCCAUCGUCAGUCAACUCCUGCUCUCAUUGUCAAACACUCCUUCUACUUAUCACGACAUAUUUCAAAAUCGUACCUUUCGUUUCACACUUUCGGGAAUAAGACACCGUUUGUUGCAGUACAUACUAAUCAUAUUAAUAGUAUCACUAAUGUCGAUUUAUUAUAAUAAUAAUCACCUAUACAGUCAUCACAUUAUGAAAUUCAUGCACCGUCGUCGAGAAUAUCUAGUACCAGAACGUUCAUCCAAUACCCCUAAAUUUUUUUUUCAACUCUAAAGAAAUGUUCAAAAUUAUAAUAAUAAUCGUUGUUUUAACGAUAGUUGUAGCAUUGGUAUUUAAUAUUGACAAUGGUAUAAUAAUAACACCAACACCAACAGUAUUAUUGAUAGUAAUUAUCAUAACAGUUAUAAUAUCUUUCUACGCUACGCAAUUCUAAUCACUGUUGCACCAGUAAGUAAUAAUAACAUUACAGUAAUUAACAGUUCCUGGACGUGAUAAUGGUAUAAUAAUAUUAAUAACAUAGGUAUAGCGAUACAUGAAGUACGUAUAGUGGUUUGAAUUUUUAGUUUGUCAAUAAUAAAAUUACAUACAGUGGGGCACGUAUGUGCUUGGUCUACAUAAGAUUACUGGGAUGAUGGAAAAAAAAGAAAGAUAUUACGUAAUCCCUUUCACUUUUACAACCAAUAACCAUUGAUUUCUCGAAUCAACUUUUGAAAAGAAUUUACAAUUGAGAAGCAUUGGAGCGACACGAUUCACACGAUACUGGUUACCUUGUUUAACACCCAGCUGUACUAAUAUAUGUCAGUACAUUUGUUUUAAAUAAAAUAUAUAUGUAUCUGAUACGUGUAAAUUUAGAUAUGUACAGCUUUGGUUACUUUAUUUACAGAA